rnacentral:rRNA from 4 species
UUAAAUUGAAGAGUUUGAUCAUGGCUCAGAUUGAACGCUGGCGGCAGGCCUAACACAUGCAAGUCGAACGGUAACAGGAAACAGCUUGCUGUUUCGCUGACGAGUGGCGGACGGGUGAGUAAUGUCUGGGAAACUGCCUGAUGGAGGGGGAUAACUACUGGAAACGGUAGCUAAUACCGCAUAACGUCGCAAGACCAAAGAGGGGGACCUUCGGGCCUCUUGCCAUCGGAUGUGCCCAGAUGGGAUUAGCUUGUUGGUGGGGUAACGGCUCACCAAGGCGACGAUCCCUAGCUGGUCUGAGAGGAUGACCAGCCACACUGGAACUGAGACACGGUCCAGACUCCUACGGGAGGCAGCAGUGGGGAAUAUUGCACAAUGGGCGCAAGCCUGAUGCAGCCAUGCCGCGUGUAUGAAGAAGGCCUUCGGGUUGUAAAGUACUUUCAGCGGGGAGGAAGGGAGUAAAGUUAAUACCUUUGCUCAUUGACGUUACCCGCAGAAGAAGCACCGGCUAACUCCGUGCCAGCAGCCGCGGUAAUACGGAGGGUGCAAGCGUUAAUCGGAAUUACUGGGCGUAAAGCGCACGCAGGCGGUUUGUUAAGUCAGAUGUGAAAUCCCCGGGCUCAACCUGGGAACUGCAUCUGAUACUGGCAAGCUUGAGUCUCGUAGAGGGGGGUAGAAUUCCAGGUGUAGCGGUGAAAUGCGUAGAGAUCUGGAGGAAUACCGGUGGCGAAGGCGGCCCCCUGGACGAAGACUGACGCUCAGGUGCGAAAGCGUGGGGAGCAAACAGGAUUAGAUACCCUGGUAGUCCACGCCGUAAACGAUGUCGACUUGGAGGUUGUGCCCUUGAGGCGUGGCUUCCGGAGCUAACGCGUUAAGUCGACCGCCUGGGGAGUACGGCCGCAAGGUUAAAACUCAAAUGAAUUGACGGGGGCCCGCACAAGCGGUGGAGCAUGUGGUUUAAUUCGAUGCAACGCGAAGAACCUUACCUGGUCUUGACAUCCACGGAAGUUUUCAGAGAUGAGAAUGUGCCUUCGGGAACCGUGAGACAGGUGCUGCAUGGCUGUCGUCAGCUCGUGUUGUGAAAUGUUGGGUUAAGUCCCGCAACGAGCGCAACCCUUAUCCUUUGUUGCCAGCGGUCCGGCCGGGAACUCAAAGGAGACUGCCAGUGAUAAACUGGAGGAAGGUGGGGAUGACGUCAAGUCAUCAUGGCCCUUACGACCAGGGCUACACACGUGCUACAAUGGCGCAUACAAAGAGAAGCGACCUCGCGAGAGCAAGCGGACCUCAUAAAGUGCGUCGUAGUCCGGAUUGGAGUCUGCAACUCGACUCCAUGAAGUCGGAAUCGCUAGUAAUCGUGGAUCAGAAUGCCACGGUGAAUACGUUCCCGGGCCUUGUACACACCGCCCGUCACACCAUGGGAGUGGGUUGCAAAAGAAGUAGGUAGCUUAACCUUCGGGAGGGCGCUUACCACUUUGUGAUUCAUGACUGGGGUGAAGUCGUAACAAGGUAACCGUAGGGGAACCUGCGGUUGGAUCACCUCCUUACCUUAAAGAAGC